AUUGAACGCUGGCGGCAGGCUUAACACAUGCAAGUCGAGCGGAGAGAGGUAGCUUGCUACUGAUCUUAGCGGCGGACGGGUGAGUAAUGCUUAGGAAUCUGCCUAUUAGUGGGGGACAACAUUUCGAAAGGAAUGCUAAUACCGCAUACGUCCUACGGGAGAAAGCAGGGGAUCUUCGGACCUUGCGCUAAUAGAUGAGCCUAAGUCGGAUUAGCUAGUUGGUGGGGUAAAGGCCUACCAAGGCGACGAUCUGUAGCGGGUCUGAGAGGAUGAUCCGGCAAACUGGGACUGAGACACGGCCCAGACUCCUACGGGAGGCAGCAGUGGGGAAUAUUGGACAAUGGGCGCAAGCCUGAUCCAGCCAUGCCGCGUGUGUGAAGAAGGCCUUAUGGUUGUAAAGCACUUUAAGCGAGGAGGAGGCUACUUUAGAUAAUACCUAGAGAUAGUGGACGUUACUCGCAGAAUAAGCACCGGCUAACUCUGUGCCAGCAGCCGCAGUAACAC
rnacentral:rRNA from 1 species